AUGAGUACAUUAUUAAAUUUAUGAAGGGUUUGAUCUUGGCUCAGAACGAACGCUGGCGGCGUGGAUUAGGCAUGCAAGUCGAACGAGGAUAUAUC
rnacentral:rRNA from 1 species